ensembl:lncRNA
AGUGGAUGGUAAUAUGGUAAUAAAAGGGUUGAGGGGUGUAGCUGGAUGGUAAUAUGGUAACGAGGGAGUUGAGGAGUAGCUGGAUGGUAAUAUGGUAACGAGGGGGUUGAGGAGUAGAUGGAUGUUAAUAUGGUAACGAGGGGUUGAGGAGUAGAUGAUGUUAAUAUGGUAACGAGGGGGUUGAGGAGUAGCUGGAUAUUAAUAUGGUAACGAGGGGGUUGAGGAGGAUCUGGAUGGUAAUAUGGUAACGAGGGGGUUGAGGAGUAGCUGGAUGGAUGGUAAUAUGGUAACAAGGGCGUUGAGGAGUAGCUGGAUGGUAAUAUGGUAACGAGGGGGUUGAGGUGUAGCUGGAUGGUAAUAUGGUAAUGGGGGGUUGAGGAGUAGAUGAUGUUAAUAUGGUAACGAGGGGGUUGAGGAGUAGCUAGAUGGUGAUAUGGUAACGAGGGGGUUGAGGAGUAGCUGGAUGGUAAUAUGGUAAUGAGGGGUUUGAGGAGUAGCUGGAUGGUAUUACAGUAAUGAGGGGUUUGAGGGGUAGCUGGAUGGUAAUAUGGUAACGAGGGGG